UGCUACACUGGAAACUUCUUUUCCUGCUCACUUGGGGAACUCUUGGUCUACUCGGUCUAAUCCUGUGUCUCUUCUUACCCCAGCUACUUGGUCCACCCCACUGACCUCUGCUUUUCUAGUUUCCACCAAGACGGGUCUCUCUGUAAGACUCUCAGAUGAGCUACUAUAAGCCCUCCGGCAGACAUACAUCAUGCUUUCUACCACAGGGUGCUUUCUAGGCUAUGAAUUCAAUGGAUUCCAAUCUUUAAGUUAUAGACCCAGUAGUACCCAAAGCUUGAAUUACGGUCCCAGCUUCUUGCCACCCAAACUACUUCUCUACUAAGAAAAGCCUGUCAACUUGCUAUAGACCAAUGUACAGGCAUGGCUUCUAC
rnacentral:lncRNA from 1 species